rnacentral:rRNA from 1 species
UGGGGAAUAUUGCACAAUGGGCGCAAGCCUGAUGCAGCCAUGCCGCGUGUGUGAAGAAGGCCUUCGGGUUGUAAAGCACUUUCAGCGGGGAGGAAGGCGAUAAGGUUAAUAACCUUGUCGAUUGACGUUACCCGCAGAAGAAGCACCGGCUAACUCCGUGCCAGCAGCCGCGGUAAUACGGAGGGUGCAAGCGUUAAUCGGAAUUACUGGGCGUAAAGCGCACGCAGGCGGUCUGUCAAGUCGGAUGUGAAAUCCCCGGGCUCAACCUGGGAACUGCAUUCGAAACUGGCAGGCUAGAGUCUUGUAGAGGGGGGUAGAAUUCCAGGUGUAGCGGUGAAAUGCGUAGAGAUCUAGAGGAAUACCGGUGGCGAAGGCGGCCCCCUGGACAAAGACUGACGCUCAGGUGCGAAAGCGUGGGGAGCAAACAGG